AUGAAGGCUGGCGGCGUGCCUAAUACAUGCAAGUCGAGCGAACGGACGAGAAGCUUGCUUCUCUGAUGUUAGCGGCGGACGGGUGAGUAACACGUGGAUAACCUACCUAUAAGACUGGGAUAACUUCGGGAAACCGGAGCUAAUACCGGAUAAUAUUUUGAACCGCAUGGUUCAAAAGUGAAAGACGGUCUUGCUGUCACUUAUAGAUGGAUCCGCGCUGCAUUAGCUAGUUGGUAAGGUAACGGCUUACCAAGGCAACGAUGCAUAGCCGACCUGAGAGGGUGAUCGGCCACACUGGAACUGAGACACGGUCCAGACUCCUACGGGAGGCAGCAGUAGGGAAUCUUCCGCAAUGGGCGAAAGCCUGACGGAGCAACGCCGCGUGAGUGAUGAAGGUCUUCGGAUCGUAAAACUCUGUUAUUAGGGAAGAACAUAUGUGUAAGUAACUGUGCACAUCUUGACGGUACCUAAUCAGAAAGCCACGGCUAACUACGUG
rnacentral:rRNA from 1 species